GGAUUAAAAUGCUUGUUGCCGUGGUAUUUAAAUUAAGAUAGUUGUAUACUUUUGAAAUUUAAAUUGGUAUUUGAUAUUUAAAAAAAUGUUACUAUUUGACAAAUAGUCUCUAUCGAGUUUAAUUGAAGUGGAUAAUUUCUUUUAUAUGUUUUCAGCUGUAUGAUAGCAUGCAUAUGUCGUGAGUAUGUGAACAAGAAUUUGAUAUGAUUAGAGUCUUAAACGUAGAGCCUAGUGUUUUGACCUUGCAAUGACAUGCCCAUUCGAUCAGUGAACACCAACCCGGGGACUAAGUGCCUCAUCUAGCUGCGCGAAGACUUAUACCACGAUGGCAUUUUCAUCAGUAGGUGCCUUUAGCCCUUUGAUUUCUUUAUUUGAUUAGAAAUGUCGCACGGCCUCUUAACAUUACACUACUGAAUCCCAAUCAUUUGCUUGUUGUGCUAUUGCAACCUCUAAGUUCAUCCACCAAUAAUGAUAAAUUGUCUUGACUUGAUUAUUUUUUGUUACAAUUAUUUAAAUAUCUUGUUCUUGCUCUUUUUUAGGAUCUUAUUUUGGAGUGGCGUCACUCCAAUGCUUGAAUUUUAUGCUCAUGCACAAGGAGGAUUGGCCGACAAAAGAGAUUACAAAGCCGAGUCUCGCUGAGUUAGUUAAUGAAAUGCAGAAGAAACUCCCAGAGGAUUGUCAUCCCCAAGAAUUCGAGCCUAAUUCCAUAGUCCCAAUAGAUGGUGGUUUCUUAGGCUUCGAUCCACCGGCUGCACUCAAGUAUAUGAAAAAAUUUGGGGUUAGCCUUGACCGGUUCCAUCCCUACAAAGGGCGGAUGAUGAAAAGAAAGAUUCCAGAAAUAUCGCCCCGGAUAAAGAUAGGAGAUUAUACAGUUCUAAAUGGCGAUAAUGACAUAAAACCACGGGGAGUUUGUUACCUACAACUCUUUUGAGGAUCAUGUAGAUGUAUGUGCCCUAGUUUCCUUUCUUAUUUCUCCCCUAUUCUCUAUUUUAGGGUAUCAAUGUGUAAUUUAUUUUUUUUUGAAGGGAAUAUAUCAUGGACACAAGGAUAAGUUGGACGAGGAAACUGUGUCUGGGCAUUCAGUUCUUGUUUUUGGCUAUGGGGGAAAAGGCAAAGAUGCCUAUCUCGAUGUUCAAAACACAUGGAAACCAGAAGACUGGGGCAAGGAUGGAAUUGGAAAGAUAUCUCAUAAUCUUUUCUACCGGUUUUCUUUUCUAGAUGCGGAGUCAAUUUCUCUCGAGCAACCAGGUGCAUCUGAACACUAUAUCCCACCAUUUGAUGCAUGCUAGCCAUUUCAAUGUAGGAUUUGUAUGCGAUGAUUAGUCGAUGGGGUUCUUCUACAGUCAUCUUUCAAAGGGCACCUUAAGAUGAUCUCCAGGUGACACGUUAAUGACUUUAUAAUGUUGCUUGAUUUUCAUGGACUCAUGAUGAGAUGGCUGCAAUCCCAAGUGUAGUGGUACUCACACUUGAUAAUUUUGAUGAGCAUGUCCUCAAUGAAACAAAGGAUGUUUUGGUUAAAUUGUAUGAACCCUGGUAAGAAUGCAUGUUCACGUCUUUGUACGAAAUAUUAGAUUGGAGUAAUGGGAAGUAGCCCCGGUUCUUCAGGGUAUAUGUUGAUUGACAAUGACUCUACUCAACCCUAACUUAGGGCCAGAAAUAAUGUGCAAGUUGAGAUUUAACUAUCGAUUGCCGAUAGAAUCGUUAGUUCCAUGUUUACCUCACAAUAGUUUAUUGGCAUUAGUGGCUUCCUCUUAACUGACUUCAGUUGCUAAUGUUUUAAGGAUAAGUUAGUUUUUGAAUUUGAAAUGCAAUUUUUUUUUCUGCUUUUUUGUGUCCUAGCCAUGUUAUGUUCUACAGGUGGUGCUAUGGCAAAAACCUUGCUGUAUGAUGUGAGUGCCUUUCCUACAUUAAAAUUCUUUCCCAAAGGUAACAAGGCUUGGUGAAGAUUAUAAUGGUGGCCAAGAUUUAGACGACUUUGUAAAUUUCAUCAAUGAUAAGUGUGGCGCGUGUCAUGAUACAAAGGGACAACUUACUGAUAAAGUAAGUGGUGGAACUGUUAAGGUUUUUAAGUAUAACAGCGUGGAAUGUAAUUUCUCUCCAACAGUUUCUAUUUGUGUUUCGUUCUUUAUUUCCUUCGAUUCUGUUCUUUUGUACCGGCUGGUAUAGUUGAGGCUUUGGACAAAUUGGUGAAGGAGUUUGUUACCUGGCAGUGAGGAGAAGAAAACAGUUUACAACCGGAUGAAGGAGGAAGUUGAGAAGCUGAAGGGUUCUGCUUCAAGGUUGUGAUGAAGGCUUAUGUUUUUAUUGCAUAAAUUUCAUGAGAAAAUACUGCGUAUAUUAUGUCCCUUGAUUCUUCAUUUUUCUUAUGUUUUUAUCACCUAAAUGUUUCAGAUAUGGAAAGAUUUACUUGAAAGCUG